AGAACGAACGCUGGCGGCAUGCCUAACACAUGCAAGUCGAACGAGACCUUCGGGUCUAGUGGCGCACGGGUGCGUAACGCGUGGGAAUCUACCCUUGGGUUCGGAAUAACAGUUGGAAACGACUGCUAAUACCGGAUGAUGACGUAAGUCCAAAGAUUUAUUGCCCAGGGAUGAGCCCGCGUAGGAUUAGCUAGUUGGUGAGGUAAAGGCUCACCAAGGCGACGAUCCUUAGCUGGGUCUGAGAGGAUGAUCAGCCACACUGGGACUGAGACACGGCCCAGACUCCUACGGGAGGCAGCAGUGGGGAAUAUUGGACAAUGGGCGAAAGCCUGAUCCAGCAAUGCCGCGUGAGUGAUGAAGGCCUUAGGUUGUAAAGCUCUUUACCCGGGAAGAUAAUGACUGUACCGGAGAAUAAGCUCCGGCUAACUCCGUGCCAGCCAGCCGC
rnacentral:rRNA from 1 species